ACUGGACUGGGCUUCAGUUCAGGGGAGGAGAGAGUGCCCAACAUGUGAUCUGGGAAUUGGGAAUUUCGGAACAAAAUCCCAGCUAAAUCUCUCUGUCAUGUCUUCAUUUUUUCCCCCUUUUCCUCUUCUCUCUUCUUGUUAAAACAACAUCUUUGAAGACUAAAACAAAUCAAUGGAGUGAUUUUGCUCCCUUGCCUUUCUCCUGACUUUCUGAAGAUCUUUUCCCCCUACCCCCAUCCAAAUAAUCCCUCCUCUUUCCUUUCCUCCUCUCUUCCCCCCCCCCCCCCCCCCAACUCCAAGUCAAGGGACCUUCUCAUGCUGUCUGUUCGUCCGUACCUGGACCAGGUGCUCCUGAAGGAAAAUAUGGAUAGCUUCUGUCUUGGCUUUGGACUGGAAAAUCUCAAGUAGUUUGCACUCUGGCAAGCCUGGAAGGAAAUUAUGUGCUGCUUAUGAAAAACAACAAAACCCACAUUGCCUGGUAAUGUGCAAGUACGGUUUAAUUGACUGUUGUUCUCAGUGGAAGGACCCAUGUUGUUUGGCUAAGAUCAGUUAGUAUUUGUUUCUCAGCCGCUAACUUCUUCUUCAGAAGGUUUCAAGAUUUUCAACAACUGUCCCCAACUCUCCCGACGUUCCCCCACUCCCAGCCUCCCCAGUGAUGACUCAGGUGUGCAAAAGAAAGUGCGUUGCCACAGAGCGAUGGGGAGUGGGUUAGGAGAGUGGGCGUGCUCGGGCAUGCUGGCCAGUUCCCAUCCUGGAUCCAGUUACACAGCAACAACCCAAGGAUUGGGUUAAAUUUUAACUUGUUUCCCAUGAUUUUUCUCUUGGCAUUUGAUGGCAGCUUGUCUCCUCUGGUUACACUGAGCACCCCCACCCUUCCAAAGUAGCUUCCAAGUAGAUGAAGAUGAUCCAGUCUUAUCCAGAGAGAACUGACUGGAUCCCAAGUGAGCUUUCCUUGGGGAUAUAGUCUUCAUGACUUCACUGUAAAGGGGACUAAAGAGUACAAUUAAUUUCCUAAGAGGUGUGCAGAGGGGGAGGAAGGGAGUAUAUUUAGAACUCUGGAAUAAUAAAAGGAAAUGAACCAUUGGCUGUCAGAGCUGGAAGGAACCUGAGGCCACCGAAUGUUAGGAGUUGGAACCGGAGACACUGUCUAAUGCAAAGCCCCUCACUUUAUGAAUGAGAUGGAAGGAAGUGAUCGUCCAAAGUUAUCCAGCUAAUGGCGGAACCAGAAUCAGAAACUAUGUCCAUGCCCUUCCCAUUUUAUGCUGCUCUCUGACUUUACAUAGGGGAGGAAAAACUUAGCUCAUGACCCUAAGAAGUUAAAAAAUUUAGCUUCAGGAUGUAGGCUUAUAUAGAUAGGUGUACAUUUAUAUAUAAACAUACACAUAUAUGCAUAUAUACAUAUAUAUUCCAUGAAUAUAUUUAUGGAUCAAUGAUGUAUCCAUAAUGCAUCAUUAAGAAAAGAUGAGAAUGUCUGCUGACCUCCUUAACCUAUGAGCCAACAUAAUGGGAAGGGCAGCUGGAUGUGCACCAUAGUGCACAGAGUUCUGGGCCUGGAGUCAGGAAAACUCUUCUUCCUGAGUUCAAAUCCAGCCUUAGACAUUUACUAGCUGUGGGAUCCUGGACAAGUCCCUUAAUUGUGUUUGCCUCAUCUGUGAAAUAAAUUGGAGAAGGAAAUGGUGAACUAUCCAAUAUCUUUACCAAAAAACACCAAAUGCAAUCAACAAAGAGUCAGACAUGAUUAAAAAAUGACUUAACAAUAAUGCAACUGGAAGGAGGAGGAGAGAGGACAACAUAUUCUUUUAAAUGAUCCCUUAAGACCUCCUUCAGGGAAAGGCUUUUGGAUUGAAGGGAUUGAUUGCCUGACUCAAUAGGACAUCUCUAAUGGGUUUACAUAUUAAGUGGAAAGUGUACUAUUUCACACAUAUAAUUAUAUACAUACAUAUGUACAUAUAUAUAUAUAUAUAUAUAUAUAUAUAUAUAUAUAUAAUAGCAGUGUGAUAUUGUGGAUAGGGAGCUGCUUAUAGUCAGUGAAACCUAUAUUCUAGUUCUAUUCCUGGCAGAGUCGCUAAGUGACACUGAGCAAGUUAUUUAAUGUCUUUCAACCUCAGUUUCCUUUUCUGUAAAACAAGGAUAAUAAUAGCAGCUGGCUGACAAACUUCCUAUUUGAUGUGAAGAUCAAAUGAGAUGCAUGUAAAAGUUCUUCGGAAAUGUUAAAGAGCUACAUAAAUAGCUAUCAUUAUUAUCAUCAUCAUCAUUAACUUUUGUCUCAGGGAACUCUCUAAGACAAGAAUUCUUAAAGAUCUUUAGGAUCUGAGAUCUCCAAAGAGUCUGUGAAUAGAUUUGGAGGAACAGGGGAACAGUCUGUGAAUCUCAGUGAGAAAAAAGUACAACUUUAUUUCAAUAGAAUUCAUUUCCUUUGUGUCCUAUAUGUUUUAUUUUCUGCAAUUAGAAACGUUAUUCUCCAAAAGGGGUCCAGACUGACAAAUAGCACAAUAUAAGUGAAGAGCCUCCACUCUCAGGCUAUACAUUGCAGAGCAGUUGCCAAUUUGUUUCAGUAGGGGAGGUUUCUCACUAGGAGCUUUUUAUAUUGAUGAAAUCAUAAAAGUUUGACCUAAAUAAAUGAAUAAAUGAAUGAACAAACGAAAGCAUAUCGUGGGGGAAAUAAAGGUAGAUAUUGAAAAGGAAUAUUUAGAAUAUGAAACAUACUAGCAAAAGUCAGUUCAGUGUGGAGCUGAGGAGAGUGUGGUGGAUUUUAAAGUAAGAGGAGCUGUGUUCAGUCUCUGGCUCCGAUACCUAUUCCUGUGUGUCCCUCUCUCUGGUUGGAUUCAAUUACCUCUCAGGUCCCUUCUGGCCCAAAGCAAGGAUCCUACUAUCCCUGAAGAUCCGCAGUGCUACAGCUUUCAGGACCUUGGUCUUCUUGUAGGAUACUGAACAGCCAUAAUUGGGGCCCCCAUCCUGCAGAGGAGGAGCAGCAGCAGGCAGCUGAGGAGUCCUACCUAACACUGAAUCUCUUGGAAAAAAGGAAUCCCAAAGAUAAGGAACUUUACUGGUUUGUUUAUUUUCCUCCUCUCCUUCCUAUUGGAGAGGCUAGAAAUGUGCAAAUGUCCUGAUCAAAGGAUAUGGCUCCUGUUGUGUUAAAGGCAGGGUUAACCUCCCAAUGCCUUCUAGUUGAUGCUAAAAAUUCAGACAGCCUGUCACAGUGACUUAAAUCCAUCUUAAUGAAAUAGUCCUUUGUCUUUUGGGCUAGGAAGGGCUGCAAACCCAGUUAGAGUCUUUAAAAAAAGUACUCACCACCACAAUCUCUCAGUCAGCUCAGAUUUUAAGAUUACCAAAUUAUCCAGGCAACUUUCCUGUUUGAGAAAUUGGAUUUUUUUUUUCAGUUACUUUGAGCUGUUAGCUCUGUAAUGCAAUCUCCAUGUGCUUCCCUCUUGAAAUAAAAAUAUUUUCAAAAACCUUUCCCCAAUCCUUUCUUACCAACCCUUCCCCCCUUCUCCUUCCUCCCUCCCCAACAUC
rnacentral:lncRNA from 1 species